UGAAAUGAUUUUUAUAAAUAGAUAUAUACAUGUGUGUGGAGGAGGCUCUCUCUCUCUCUUAUCUCUCUCAAAUCUUUUAGAGAGAGAGUGCUCAUUUUGUGUUUUGCCGGCGGUUCCUUUUUCCGGCGAUGUCUCCCGAAGUUCGGGCUUAUGACUCUGGCAAGAGAUGGCUUCUUUAGUAUCUUCUUGGCCGGCUCUGACUCUGGCAAGAGGUGGCUCUCCUAGUACCUUCUUGGCCGGCUCCGUGCGACUAUCCGCUCAUCUCCGAUAUAAUUCACUUUUUAGAUCCGAGUCUUUUCCAGUCUUGGUUUUUUUUUAAAGUUGUCUUUGCACUAGUUAGAUUCAUGUGACGAUCUUCCAUUGUUGAGCUUCAGUCUAGUGGAGUUCGGUGAUGGUUUUGUUUCGGUUGAGUCUCUCUAUUUGCUCGGCAACCUUGUGCUUGUCAUCAUCUUUCGUCGUUUUUGUUUCGUUAAAUCUUGAGCUUCCUGUUUCCGGUAAGCUUCCGGUGGGGUGCUCGAUUGGUCGGGGCCGGCGGCGAAAUCAAGUCGGUGGGAUGAGGAUGCAUGUGCUUGUGAGCCACCUGUUUCUCUCUUGCUUCGCAAUGCGACACGUGGCUAUAUGCUGAUCAUGAGUUGUCCUCUUCACCUUAUGGGCUUUUGUUAGGCCUUAGUUGUUACUUUUCGUUUGGGUCUAGCUCUUUUGACCCCAUAUGUAUUUGAGUUUGUUCACUGUUGGUCUGUUUGACCUUUUAAUAAUACGAGAUGAAAAAAAAAAUGAUUUUUACAAAUUAAUUUACAUGAAUGUGAUGAAUAUAAAAUCCUUUACAUAAUUGAUAAAAUGAAUUUUUUUUUUGGUAUAUUGUGGCGCCUCUAGUGAUUGUAUUUUAGCCUUUGUAAAAUGUGAAAUGUGGAG
rnacentral:lncRNA from 1 species